CCUACGGGUGGCAGCAGUGAGGAAUAUUGGUCAAUGGGCGCGAGCCUGAACCAGCCAAGUCGCGUGAGGGAAGACGGUCCUAUGGAUUGUAAACCUCUUUUGUCGGGGAGCAAAAGCCGCCACGCGUGGCGUUCCGAGAGUACCCGAAGAAAAAGCAUCGGCUAACUCCGUGCCAGCAGCCGCGGUAAUACGUAGGGGGCAAGCGUUACCCGGAAUUACUGGGUGUAAAGGGUGAGUAGGCGGCAAGGUAAGGGAUAUGUGAAAGCCUUAAGCUUAAAUAAAGUAUUGCAUAAAGAACUAUCGAGCUAGAGUACAGGAGAGGAAAGCGGAAUUCCUAGUGUAGCGGUGAAAUGCGUAGAUAUUAGGAAGAACACCAGUGGCGAAGGCGGCUUUCUGGACUUAAACUGACGCUGAGGCUCGAAAGCGUGGGGAGCGAACAGGAUUAGAUACCCUAGUAGUC
rnacentral:rRNA from 1 species